rnacentral:tRNA from 1 species
GGGGAUGUAGCUCAGUUGGUUAAGAGCGCCUGUUUGUCGAAGUGAGUUCAAAUCCUACCAUCCCGA